AGUAGAUCGGGAUACUCUUCAAUUUUUUUAUGAAAUGCCGAGUCGGCAUUCAUAUUAAUGGCGGGCCUCACCCUACUUGGUGUUUCUACGGAAACCGGAGGAUUACAAAGAUAUGGAUGCUCUCAAAUCUUGUAUUUAUCGGAGUUUCAUCACAUCCUUUGGUGUGGUUUUUU
rnacentral:sRNA from 1 species